CAAUAGCGCAUAUUAAAGUUGUUGCAGUUAAAAAGCUCGUAGUUGGAUUUCUGCCAGGGUGCCAAUGUCCGCCGAAGUGCGUGCGCAGCGGCGCCCUCGCAUCCUUCUGUUAACGCCUCUCGGCAUUUACUUGCCGGUGGUGGGCUCAGAUAAUUUACCUUGAGAAAAUUAGAGUGUUUCAGGCAGGCUAGGCCGGAAUACAUUAGCAUGGAAUAAUGGAAUAGGACUACGGUCUCGUUGUUGGUUUGAGGGACUGGAGUAAUGAUUAAUAGGGAUAGUUGGGGGCAUUAGUAUUUAAUUGUCAGAGGUGAAAUUCUCAGAUUUGUUAAAGACUAACUUAUGCGAAAGCAUUUGCCAAGGAUGUUUUCAUUAA
rnacentral:rRNA from 1 species